GUUGCAAAUAGGUUUUAUUGCCCAACGGCCAGAUCAAGUAGACAUUUAACAAGCUUUAAUUCUUCAUCAAGCUUCAGAUUUUUCACCCGGGAAAUCUUCCUCCUUUUCACCCUCUGUUUUCUUUUCCUUUGUUAAAAGCAGGACAUGACAGCCUGCAGGGUGAUGUCUAUUGUUACAAGUUGAAAGAUCUAGCAUGCUCUGGAGUCUGAGAGAAUGAAUGAAUUAUUAACAUCCUUCCCUACUGUUCCUGGGCUUGAUGGGAGUGAACUUUGGAUCUUUCUGGCUGAACAGAAGAAAGGCAAUAGUCCAGGAGAAGAAACAGCAGCUUUACAACAGCAACUAAACAGCUUGUCCCAGCAGCCAUGGUAAUUUGUUUGAGAGGAGGAAGAAGAGGAGGAAGACUACUGAGUUUUCAACCAGAAAGACUUGCCUACUGCUAUCUAAUUUUUUUUGUAUAACCAAGGCAGUUAACUUGUAAACUGUUACCUGCAGAUCAUUUUGUGGCCAAGAGGUGAUGACUGAGACCGCCAGCACUUUAGCUGCAGACCUGGAUCAUCCACAAGUACUUUUGGUCUGAGGCUGGAGCUGCUCUUCCUGUUCAUACACUACACCGAGUGAUACACAUUCAACUUGAAUAACAGCUGAAGCCAGGGCCCCCAUGUCUACAGCUUGUGGGGGAUAAUGCGUAUCUGCAAUCAACGCACAUGCAAGGAAGGAAAAUCAGACUGUACCCAGCAGAAAGAUUCUCCCAUAAUUACCCAACUUUUUCUGGUGAAGCGCCUGGGAUGUGUACCGUCACACAGCAUUUUGCAAGCGGUUUGAUUUGCUCACUGCGUUUCCUGUCCUCUUCUGAGGAAUCCAGGGAGCUCCCGGGCUGGAAAUGUGUGGCAACGAAGCGGACAGACCUCAUCUGGGGAGUGCUGGACUGUAUGGCAGAAGGGAUGAAGUGACCUCUCUGAUCCUUUCCAAAUCUGUAUCUUAGGACUGUGAUAAGAGACUGAAAUGUAAACCUUAUGCUAGCGUGUAAUGCACACUUUGAGCACAAAUGGAAACCGUGAGGGAGGGAAAAAAAAGUUUUAGUGUACUUUUCACACUGGAAAUGACUUAACCUCCUAUAUUUUCUUCCUCUUUUUUCUUUUUUUUUUUCCCAGCAUACUCAUCUUACUACUCCCAGCAUACUACUCCCAGUAACUCAUUAACAAAGUUUCAGUGAAUUCGAAGCAAAGGCAAAGAGGAACAGUUUGCUCUCUUGCAGCAGUUAUUGAAUGUGCCCCCCAGUUACUUUUUUUCCCACAUUUCCUUUGAACUAACAAAGAGCUGUAAAUAAACACCCUUACAAGCCAAACAACAGACACCAAAUAUUUUGAGAAUGAAACUCAUCAGAAAGGCCCAUUCCCUGGGCAAAGCGCUCAAUCAGUUUAAUUUUUUUUUUCUUACUGAAA
rnacentral:lncRNA from 1 species